GAAAUCCAGGAGCGGGGCGGAGGCCGCCCAGGGGCUAUAAACCCGUUAAAGCCUGUCUGGGUAUCUGCUCCUCUCACACCCCUGCUUUUGGCCUCUCAUCAAGUACCACACUGACAUCUGCGGAUGCCGCCCCAGGCCUGUGUCAUCUCUCCGGCGGAGCGCGAGGUGCCAUCGGCACCCCCAUUUCGCAGGUGGGAAGGCUGAGCCCCGGCAAGCCGUAGGCUGGGGUGGGGUGGGGUGGCGGGGGCAGGAGUGGGAGGGGCCAGGCCUUCCAGGCAAGAGGGCCCAGCGCCCGCCCUCCCCAGCCCGGGGCUGAGUCUGUGCACCUGAGAACCUCCGCCUCGGUCCAGGGCUCCGGCGGUCUCGCUCCCGCCGUCUCCCGCUCCAGCUCCAUCUUCCCGGUCCUCUCUCCCGACCGAGCUCACAGUCUGAUGGAGGAGACAGACCCAGACGCAGACAGUUCCAAUCCUGGGCGAUCGGGCCAUACAGCAUGACACACAGAAGCUUACUCCCUGACCAGAGAUUGAACCCGAGCCCCCCAGCACGGAAGCUCAGAGUUCUAACCACUGGACCACCAGUAAAUUCCCUUGGAAGACACAGUGAGAGACUGGCUGUCUGCAAGCCAGGAAACACCGCCUCACCAGGGAACUGAAUCAACCAGCCCCUUGCUCUUGGACUUUUCAGCCUCCAGGACUGUGAGAAAUAAAUUCCUUUUGGUUUAAGCCUCCCAGAUUUGGUAUUUCAUUAUGAUAGCCUGAACCGACUAAGACACUGGUCCUUAUUUCGUUCUACAGCAGGUUUUGGUCACUUUUAUUGUAUAUUAAUGGGCAUCAGAGAAGGACUUGCUAAAAAACACGAACAUAUGUCAGCAAGUUUCCCAGAAGUCCGUGGAAGGGUUGUGAGCUGCGAAAUUGAAGGC
ensembl:lncRNA